GACGAACGCUGGCGGCGUGCCUAAUACAUGCAAGUAGAACGCUGAAGGAGGAGCUUGCUUCUCCGGAUGAGUUGCGAACGGGUGAGUAACGCGUAGGUAACCUGCCUGGUAGCGGGGGAUAACUAUUGGAAACGAUAGCUAAUACCGCAUAACAGUAGAUGCUGCAUGACAUUUGCUUAAAAGGUGCAAUUGCAUCACUACCAGAUGGACCUGCGUUGUAUUAGCUAGUUGGUGAGGUAACGGCUCACCAAGGCGACGAUACAUAGCCGACCUGAGAGGGUGAUCGGCCACACUGGGACUGAGACACGGCCCAGACUCCUACGGGAGGCAGCAGUAGGGAAUCUUCGGCAAUGGACGGAAGUCUGACCGAGCAACGCCGCGUGAGUGAAGAAGGUUUUCGGAUCGUAAAGCUCUGUUGUAAGAGAAGAACGAGUGUGAGAGUGGAAAGUUCACACUGUGACGGUAUCUUACCAGAAAGGGACGGCUAACUACGUG
rnacentral:rRNA from 1 species